GCCAGUGGGAGGCGGGCCCCAGGCAUCCUGAGGACAGACCAUGGAAACCCUGGCCAGCCGCGGUGGCCUCCAGGCCUAGCAGUGAUGAAGAGAAUAGAUGAUUUACUGCGAUGAGAAUUUGCUUUGAAUAUUUUAACAUUGCAAUGAUUAUUCCUUAGUGUUCACAUAACUAUUGUUCUCUCUGUAUAAGAAAAUUUAUGUCUUAUAAAACUCAGUGUCCAACUUGUUGUGUGACAGUCACAGAGCCAGACCUGAAAAAUAACUGCAUACUAGAUGAACUGGUAAAAAGCUUGAAUUUUGCACAGAAUCAUCUGUUGCAGUUCGCUUUAGAAUCAUCACCCAUAUCACUUGUUUCUUCCUCUUCUAAGAGACUUGCUGUCAAAGUACAUACUCCUGGAGGUUACUGACAUUCUUUAAAGCAGGGGAGCAGAUUAAUGGACAAUUCUUGAUCAGAGUUGUCAAUAAAAGAAAAUGACAUUAAAUUCAGCCCUCAGAAAGAGGCAAGCACUUCUCUG
rnacentral:lncRNA from 1 species